AAUCAACGCUGGCGGCAUGCCUAACACAUGCAAGUCGAGCGAGAAAGUCCCGCAAGGGAUGAGUAAAGUGGCGCACGGGUGAGUAACACGUGACUAACCUACCUUCGAGUGGGGAAUAACCUCGGGAAACCGGGGCUAAUACCGCAUAAUAUCCAUGGUUGCAAUACUGUGGAUCAAGCACGCAAGUGGCUUGAAGAGGGGGUCGCGGCUGAUUAGCUAGUUGGUGGGGUAAUGGCCACCAAGGCUUUGAUCAGUAUCCGGCCUGAGAGGGCGCACGGACACACUGGGAACUGAAACACGGUCCAGACUCCUACGGGAGGCAGCAGUGGGGAAUUUUUGCGCAAUGGGGGAAACCCUGACGCAGCAAUGCCGCGUGGAGGAUGAAGGUCUUUGGGUUGUAAACU
rnacentral:rRNA from 1 species